rnacentral:rRNA from 1 species
AGGCUCAGGAUAAACGCUGGCGGCGUGCUUAACACAUGCAAGUCGAACGGAGUAUCCUCCCGAGACCGAAGAAGCUUGCUUCUGAAGAAUCAUUUGGAAUACUUAGUGGCGGACGGGUGAGUAACGCGUGGGUAACCUGCCUCACACUGGGGGAUAGCAGUUGGAAACGACUGAUAAUACCGCAUAAGCGCACAGUACCGCAUGGUACAGUGUGAAAAACUCCGGUGGUGUGAGAUGGACCCCGCGUCUGAUUAGCUAGUUGGUGAGGUAACGGCCCACCAAGGCGACGAUCAGUAGCCGGCCUGAGAGGGUGUACGGCCACAUUGGGACUGAGACACGGCCCAAACUCCUACGGGAGGCAGCAGUGGGGAAUAUUGCACAAUGGGGGAAACCCUGAUGCAGCGACGCCCGCGUGAGUGAUGAAGUAUUUCGGUAUGUAAAGCUCUAUCAGCAGGGAAGAUAAUGACGGUACCUGACUAAGAAGCACCGGCUAAAUACGUGCCAGCCGCAGC